GUAUUUUGUAAAGUUGUUCUAGUUUUGUAACUAAAAUGGUUUGGCAGUGAGCGAUUCUUAUUAGGGGAAUAUGCAUAGUGAAGGAUGGUCCACCUAUUAGUUUACUCUUUUUAUGUUGGUGUAUGUCUGGUUUGAUAUUAUUGUUGAAUAAUUUAAGUUUGUGUAGUUUUAGUUAAGCUAAGUCUAUGUGCUGCUUAUUGGAGUUUUUGUGUGUUACAUUAAUAAGGGUGUUAUUGUAAGAUGAUGUGAUUUAG
rnacentral:rRNA from 1 species